GCGAACGCUGGCGGCAGGCUUAACACAUGCAAGUCGAACGGGCACUUCGGUGUCAGUGGCAGACGGGUGAGUAACACGUGGGAACGUACCCUUCGGUUCGGAACAACUCAGGGAAACUUGAGCUAAUACCGGAUACGCCCUUACGGGGAAAGGUUUACUGCCGAAGGAUCGGCCCGCGUCUGAUUAGCUAGUUGGUGAGGUAAUGGCUCACCAAGGCGACGAUCAGUAGCUGGUCUGAGAGGAUGAUCAGCCACACUGGGACUGAGACACGGCCCAGACUCCUACGGGAGGCAGCAGUGGGGAAUAUUGGACAAUGGGCGAAAGCCUGAUCCAGCCAUGCCGCGUGAGUGAUGAAGGCCUUAGGGUUGUAAAGCUCUUUCGACGGGGACGAUAAUGACGGUACCCGUAGAGGAAGCCCCGGCUAACUUCGU
rnacentral:rRNA from 1 species